AUGGCGGCGAUCCGAUGUGCUGCUGCUGGCAUCGCGCUCCUCCGACGAGCAGCAGCCGGCGGCGAGCGGGCAGCGCUGCAGAAGAUCUUCCCCUCGCUGCGACCUCGGGGGAUUCACAGCCUCCUCGAUCGGACUCCCAGCGCCGGCGCCCUGUCGUCGCCGAUGUCGUUAAUAGGUCCAGCUCGCUGCGGCGCCUCAUCCAACAGAUACAUGAGUACCGGCCGCUUACAGAAGGGCGGACACAGUGCGCCAACUUAUCAGGAGCCCAGUGCCAAGCUUCUCUGUCUGCUAACGCUCACGGCAUCAUUGAUGCAUGAUGCGUGGGAUUCUUACGAUGGGUUUGCAUGCCGUUUCGGCGAGUUUUCAACGUGCGAGUUCUCGUUGCCGCAGAUUUCCCAAUUCCCAACAGCUGCUUGGUCGGUACUGGACAAGACCCGUGACUCCAUGCUGGAAAGAGAGCCCCCAAGUUCAACCUGA
rnacentral:rRNA from 1 species